AUCGAUCUACGCCCCUGUUCGAUCCCGUGCUCCUCAGGGACACCGUACGCGGGCAAGACUCCGCGAGGAACGCCGCACCCUUUCUCCCGAUUCUUUCGCUCGCCGCAUGCAGCUGCAGGGCGAAACCCGAUCUCGCGAGGCGCUCGAGCCGCCGCCGUCUUCGCCGGUCGUUUUCGCUGCCGUAAGGACACCACCGUCCACACCGUUCACUCCCCUCGACCCUCCGCUCAACGCCGCACCUUGCUGACAUAUUUUUGUCGCCGAAAUCGCAGCGGGGCGAGCCGUCGGAGCAGCGGCUGUUCACGUCGUCACCGUCACCCGCAGAGCACGCCCCGUCGUCGUUUGACCUCACCACCGCGUCCACAACUCGAAGCCACCUCCGCCCGUCACCUCACUUUCGCCGGAGACUCGCCGGAGAGCCACCGCCGCCGACGCUCGAAGCCACCGCCAUUUUUCCUCUGUUUCGGUGAGCACACGCGCGCACAGCACCACCUGAGCCAACCGCGCUGCCACAUGGCAACCAGCUACAGUACAUGCACGAACAGUGCACGAGUUUUCUGUUGUUUUAGUUUUUCUUUCCAGAUUUGUUCUCUAACUUCUUUUAGCUAUAUCUUUUAGUCUAUAUACUCUUUUUAGGUGAUUCUUUUUCCUAUGAUCUCACAAAAAUCAGCACAUUAUCACAGCACCAACUUUGCACAUGUCUGCACCUUUCAAAUUUGGAUUCGUUCAGAUUUGAAUCAAAUCUUCCGGAGGCCGUAACUUCCCAACCGUUUAAUGAAAUUUAGUUUUUCUUUUUGCAUUGUGACCGUAGUGCAUUUUAGGUGCUGUUAAGCUUCUGUUGUUGAGUUUUAAAAUGGAUUUCUUGCUGUUGGUUUUGUUUUGGUUCUAUUCGUGUUCCGGUGAUUGAUUUGUUGAAUUGUUUGAAACGUGUAGAUUGUCCGGAGUGCGACGCGAGCUAUUGUCAGGAGUGUGACUUUCUGAACCAGAACCAAGGCAAGUUAAAUGUUGAUUAUCCUUUACCUAUUGUUUUCUAUGCAUGUAGUUAUAUCACACUAUGAAUAUAUGCAUGUAUAGGAGUAUUAUAUAUGUUGGCUAUGCUGUUGAGCUAUCUUCCCGUCUUUUGCAAAUCGUGUAGUUGUAGUUUGCUAUGCUUUGUAGACGGGGGUGGUUCGUGUAUCAUUGAGUUUAUGUGAGGAUUAUAUAUGUAUAUAUAACAAUUGAGUAGUAACUCAGGAUUUAACUCACCUCUGGGCGGAAGUGGUAUUGCUUGGUGUUGAGGGAAGGCAUCAUGGGGUCUUGCACCUUUUCUAAGGCCAUGCGCUCAUGAGAGUGCACCCUAAGUGGAAUGCCGCCCAGGUACAAAAAGAUCAGACAGACCUAGUAACGAGUAGCUUCCAUGUGCGGCCACUGGCUAUAUGGGCUCUGGCUUAGUUGAUCAGUUGUUGGAACCCUUGCCCAGACUUGUCGACAGAUGUAGCAUAUGUAGGUGGGAUGUAGCCGUCAGGUGGUUAAGGGAACCUCUUCUGCAAAGACUUCGUCUCAAUCUUCGGAUUGGGUCCAGUGGGUAAAGCAUACAAAACUCUGUAGAGUAUUAAAACUAAUCAUGAUUAGCCGUGCCCCCAGUUAUGGGCAAAUCUGAGCCACUAUGCCAUUACAGUUGUUGGAUGAUCGUGACAGAUGUGACACUUAAUAAUAUUUGUGGGAAACUUAAUAAUGGGUAGGUUGGAGUUGAUUUUGCCAACUCAACCUUGUUCAUUUAAUUGUAGUAAUAAAAGAACUAAAUAAAAUUUGACUAUUAGGUAGUUAUGAGGACAAAAUCAGCUUUCCGCAAAAUAAACCCUAAAGCCUUCCUUUUGUUAUACUAUGCAUAUACAUGUAGGUCUGCUAUAUUAUUACUCCUGUGUAACUUGCCAAUACAUUCAAAUUAUUGACCUAUAUGGCUGCAACAUCUCAUGUUGCAGGAUAUUCAGACGAAGAGUAAGGUACCGUUAGGGUCGCGAGUCUGCACUCAGCAUCGCCAGUGGGCUAUGAUGGGACUCAUCGUUAUUUUCUGCUACUUUCCACUAUUUGAUUGAAUAAAGCUAGCCAAGUGCUAUGCAGAUUGUUUUAUUUUAUAAACACUAGAUCAUACGUUGUAAUAAAUGGUGCACAUGCUAUUGUGGUAUUCAUCUAUAUUGUGUGUGCUAGCGAGUUCGAUCCAGGGACUAGCACAGUAAGCACAGAGACUCAAAUCCUUCGAGGUUUGGUCGUUACACACAGCAUAGUCCUAAGCAUGUGAUUUAUACACUGCAUAUACUGGUAUUUUGAUAUAUGUUUUCAUCGAUAAUUUUUUUGCUUCAU
rnacentral:lncRNA from 1 species